UGGAAAUUAGUGAGGGAACAAAAUUCCUCAUUAAUUAUGACGGAAUUAGAGACGGAAAAUUGCAUUUCCUUUAAAAAUCUAUAUUAUUGACGAAAUUAGUGAGGGAUGUUUUUUUCCUCCCUAAAUUUCCGUCACAAAGGAAAAACAUUCCGUCACAAUAACAAUAUUUGUACCUACGGACAACCAAUACCGUCAGUGAAACAUUUAUUUAUUCUUUAUUUUAUAUAUAUUAUAUAUUAUUAUUGAUUAUUAUUAUUAUAUCAAAAGUAAGAGAAACGACUAAACACUGAGUUAUCCAAAUUUCAAACCAACUCGCUCAAGGUUGCUCUUGAUCGUUCUCAUCGCGUUUCCGAAAUUUCACUCAAUCGUUCCUUAACCUCCACUCUCAGUCCUUUAGAAUCGCUCUGGAUCAUUCAAAAAUUGUUCGUAAUCGUUCGAAGUCGCAU
rnacentral:lncRNA from 1 species